rnacentral:lncRNA from 1 species
CUUUGAACACAACAGUGGUUUCUCCAAUCUAUUAUGCAUUGUUCGCUUUGUUUACAAUAUUAGCCGGUGCAAUCAUGUUUAAGGAUUAUUUAGGACAAAGUAUGAGCAGUAUUGAAUGAGAGCUAUGUGGUUUCAUCAUUGUUUUAUCUAGAACAACUGUAUCGCACUGCACUAGAAUACCAGAUCCUCCCGUCAGUACCGAUGUAUACAGUCCCCUGUCACCAAAACUUUAUCAGCAUUACAAACAUAAUGAAGAACAGUUUUGGAGAAUACAACAACAACACAAAAAUCAAAUGCAAAACCUGUUUGAUGAAGGCCUCUAUUCCGUGUUUCUGUUGAAGGAUCAAGAAUGGAAUCUUUGGUGUCGGACUGUCGUGUUCAGUUGGAACAGGUAACUCCGUGGCAGUGGCCGAGUUGCGACGGAGAUGAUGCGAGGAGAUCAAGGCUGCUGGAUAGUACACACAAGCGUUCUUCCUGUGUCUACUGUGUUCCUUCACUCCCGCUGGCAUAUCAACAGAGCAUAUAAUACCGUCAAAAAUGACGGAAUACGGUUCAAAUGGAAGAACCGUUCCUUCCUUCUUUCCAUGGUUGGACUAUGCAGCAAAAUAUCCUCUUUCUGAAUUCUUUAAAC